GGUGAGAUGGCCGAGCGGUCUAAGGCGCCAGACUAAGGUUGAUCUUACGAUCUAUCCUCACAAGGACCAAAUCACUUGGUGAUUAGCUAAUCUGGUCCGAAAGGGCGUGGGUUCGAAUCCCACUCUCAUCA